rnacentral:rRNA from 1 species
AUUGAACGCUGGCGGCAUGAUUUACACAUGCAAGUCGAACGGUAACAGGCCGCAAGGUGCUGACGAGUGGCGAACGGGUGAGUAAUGCAUCGGAACGUGCCCAGUCGUGGGGGAUAACUACUCGAAAGAGUAGCUAAUACCGCAUACGAUCUAUGGAUGAAAGCGGGGGACCGUAAGGCCUCGCGCGAUUGGAGCGGCCGAUGUCAGAUUAGGUAGUUGGUGGGGUAAAGGCUCACCAAGCCAACGAUCUGUAGCUGGUCUGAGAGGACGACCAGCCACACUGGGACUGAGACACGGCCCAGACUCCUACGGGAGGCAGCAGUGGGGAAUUUUGGACAAUGGGCACAAGCCUGAUCCAGCAAUGCCGCGUGCAGGAAGAAGGCCUUCGGGUUGUAAACUGCUUUUGUACGGAACGAAACGGCUCUGGUUAAUACCCGGGGCUAAUGACGGUACCGUAAGAAUAAGCACCGGCUAACUACGUG